rnacentral:lncRNA from 1 species
CAAUAGCCAUAAAAAGAGAAUUGGAGGGGAAGAUCUUGGCCUGUUGGUUUUCUUUGGAGAAGCUUGCUGUGGGUGGUUUUCCUGAUGCAAACCAAGCUGUUCUCAUUGGAGGAGGAACUUGGGGCCUCGCUGUAGCUGGGAAUGGCUGCUGUUUUCCUCAGGGGAGCUCUGAUCUUCACUGCUGAUGAAAAAGUUCCGGUAAAGCAAAGUGACUUGCCUUCAGCUAAGCUGCUAGAAGUGGCAGAAUGGGAGAUUCAGACUCCUGACCAUCUGGCACUUUAGUGUGUGUUCGCUUCAGCCUCUGAAUCUGAUUGUCCCAUUCACAGACUGAGAAUGCCUGUGUGGGAGUAGACCGUUCAGAGAUCUAUUCGGUUAACAACACUCAAUGAAUUGCCAUGUGCUCCUUGGUAAUAGAUGGCAUGAAAUAGAGUUUUUAAACAUUAUUUCUGCAGCCAUGAGGAGAGGUGAUAUUUGACCAGGUCUCCACUUAGCCAUCCAUGCCUAUCGAUGCAAACUUAAGCCCACACUUCAACUUGAGUCAAAAAGCUCAUAUAUUCUUGUUUUCCUAAAUGAAGGAUGCACUGAAGCAAUUGAAAACAACUUCUUGGACAAUCUUGUUCCAUUACCUCUAAUGGAAUUGAGUGGAUGUGGCACACAGUGUGUGCUGAUAUUUUGCAGAAACAAGGCGGGAUUUUCCCAUUACUCUGAGGAUGGAUGAGACACAAAGUGAACUCCUCAGAGACCUCUCACUUUGUCACAAUAGAGCGAGUGAGGAGUGAGUCACAUUAGAAGAUCUGGGAAACAAAAUGCAUUUUUGAUUCUUGCUUUUUAUCCUAUGCACACUGCACCCUCGUUUUUCAUGCACUUCUCUCUCUAUUAUUAAAUGUAAUGGUAAGAGGCCCACAAAAAAGGUCCCUCUAAAAGAA